rnacentral:rRNA from 1 species
AGUGAACGCUGGCGGUAGGCCUAACACAUGCAAGUCGAACGGCAGCACAGUAAGAGCUUGCUCUUACGGGUGGCGAGUGGCGUACGGGUGAGGAAUACAUCGGAAUCUACUUUUUCGUGGGGGAUAACGUAGGGAAACUUACGCUAAUACCGCAUACGACCUACGGGUGAAAGCAGGGGAUCUUCGGACCUUGCGCGAUUGAAUUAGCCGAUGUCGGAUUAGCUAGUUGGCGGGGUAAAGGCCCACCCAGGCGACGAUCCGUAGCUGGUCUGAGAGGAUGAUCGGCCACACUGGAACUGAGACACGGUCCAGACUCCUACGGGAGGCAGCAGUGGGGAAUAUUGGACAAUGGGCGCAAGCCUGAUCCAGCCAUACCGCGUGGGUGAAGAAGGCCUUCGGGUUGUAAAGCCCUUUUGUUGGGAAAGAAAAGCAGCAGGUUAAUACCCAGCUGUUCUGACGGUACCCAAAGAAUAAGCACCGGCUAACUUCGUG